UUUUUUCUGAGUUUAAUCUUAGCUCUGCAUGAACGCUAUCUAUUAGCUUUACACAUGUUAGUCGAACGGAUUAUAUAAUCCAUGGCGAAAGGGUGAGUAAUAUUCUUAAAUUUUACCCAAAUGAUAGGUUAAAUACCUUUAAAGAAAUAUUUUCGCAUUUGGAUAAAUUAAGAUUUGGAUUAGGCAGUAGGUGAUUUAAAAGAUUACCUAACCAAUGAUCCAUAAUUGAUCUGAGAGGAUGAUCAAUCACAGUGGCAAUGAAAAAAGGGCCACACAAAAUAAAAUUUGUCAGCAGUGAGGAAUAUUGGAGAAGGAUCGAAAGAUUGCUCCAGCUAAAUAGAAUGCUCAAGCGAAAAAUAAAUAAAGGAUCUUGAAUCCGAUUAAUAUACAUUAUGAGUUAUUUUUAUUUUUUUUUAUCCUGACCAAUCUCGUGCCAGCAGUCGCGGUAAUACGAGAAGGAUAAGCGUUAUGCUUCAUAAUUAGGUGUAAAGUGUAAUUAGAUGGUAAUAUAACAAAGAAAUUAAGGGGUCAAAGACCUAUAUUUGGUUUUCUUUAUUAUUAUAUUACUUGAAUGGUUUAAAGGAAAUUGGAAUUUCAAGUGUAAGGAUGAAAUCUGGACAUAUUUGAAGGAACUCCUAUUGGCUAAUGCAGAUUUCUUAUAUUUCAUUGACAUUCAGAUACGAAAGUGUGGGGAGCAAAUAGGAUUAGAUACCCUUUUAGUCCACACCCUAAACUAUGAAUGUUUUUGGGCACACCCGUAGGGGUGCCCUUUUACCUAUACAGGUUAAACAUUCCACCUGGGGAGUAUUAGGGCAACCUUGAAACCCAAAAGAAAAGAUGGUCUUCCAAAUAAGCAGUGAAGCAUGUUGUUUAAUUAGAUGAUCCACUAAAAAUCUUACCUAUCUUUUGUUAUUCUUUUUACAGGCGUUGCAUGGCUGUGUUCAGUUCUUGUUGUGAAAUAUUUAGUUAAGUCUUAUAAAGAACGCAACCCCCUUAUAUAAUUUUUACUUAUAUCUAUCAAAUAAAUAUUCCGUAGAUAUUUAAAGGGAUUAACACAAGUCCUCAUGACCCUUAUGAGUAGGGCUAUAGACGUGCCACAAAAGUUUAUACAAAAAGUGGCAAAAAAAAAUAAAGAGCUAAUCUUUAAAUUAAACUUUAGUACAGAUGAUAUUCUGAAACUCGAAUAUCUUAAGUUGGAAUUGCUAGUAAUCGUGAAUUAUUAUGUUACGGUGAAAUUUUUUCUGGAAGGUGUACUAAUUGCCCGUCAAGGGCUGAAAGUGAUUGGUUUUGGUGAAUUUAAAAGAUUUUUUGAAAUAAAGUAGCGAUUUUUAUAUUCAUAUACUUCUCUUUCUUUCUUUCUUUUCUUUUUCCCAUAUCACCUUUCACUAUUAGUUCUAAGUCGUAACUGGUUGGUGUAGGGGAACCUGUACCAGAAUUGUAAAAUAA
rfam:Smittium culicis strain GSMNP scaffold-9575, whole genome shotgun sequence.